rnacentral:lncRNA from 1 species
AGGCCCUAGGUUUACUUGGUGUAACAAUCAAUAGAGUGGGUUGGCAAGGGUGUGGGAACAUCUUGAUAGGGCUUUUUUUUGCCUCAAAUGCAUGUUUUAGUUUAUAUCCUGACUUUAGAGUGAAGCGCCUAACCUGAUUUGCCUUUGACCAUGGCCCAGUAUUGCCGAUGGCUCAUAAACAAUAGGCGAGGGGAGGGUAUGUGUAGCAUGUAAUUACAAUAGCCUAGAG